rnacentral:rRNA from 1 species
AUUGAACGCUGGCGGCAGGCCUAACACAUGCAAGUCGAACGAGUGGCGGACGGGUGUGUAAUGUCCGGGAAACAGCCUGAAGGCGGGGGAUAACAACUGUAAACGCUAGUUCAUACAGCACACCAUCAGAUGUGCCCCGAUGGGAUUAGCUUGUUGGUGGGGUAACGGCUCACCAAGGCGACUAUCCCUAGCUGGUCUGAGAGGAUGACCAGCCACACUGGAACUGAGACACGGUCCAGACUCCUACGGGAGGCAGCAGUGGGGAAUAUUGCACAAUGGGCACAAGCCUGAUGCAGCCAUGCCGCGUGUAUGAAGAAGGCCUUCGGGUUGUAAAGUACUUUCAGCGGGGAGGCGUUACCCGCAGAAGAAGCACCGGCUAACUCCGUGCCAGCAGCCGCGGUAAUAC